rnacentral:rRNA from 1 species
UACGUAGGGUGCGAGCGUUGUCCGGAAUUAUUGGGCGUAAAGAGCUUGUAGGCGGUCUGUCGCGUCUGCUGUGAAAAUCCGGGGCUCAACCCCGGACUUGCAGUGGGUACGGGCAGACUAGAGUGUGGUAGGGGAGACUGGAAUUCCUGAUGUAGCGGUGAAAUGCGCAGAUAUCAGGAGGAACACCGAUGGCGAAGGCAGGUCUCUGGGCCGAUAUUGACGCUGAGGAGCGAAAGCGUGGGGAGCGAACAGG